AUUGAACGCUGGCGGCAUGCUUUACACAUGCCAGUCGAGCGGUAACAGGCCUUCGGGUGCUGACGAGUGGCGAACGGGUGAGUAAUGCAUCGGAACGUACCCAGAGGUGGGGGAUAACGCAGCGAAAGCUGUGCUAAUACCGCAUGUGAUCUGAGGAUGAAAGCGGGGGACCGAGCAGCAAUGUUUGGCCUCGCGCCUUUGGAGCGGCCGAUGUCGGAUUAGCUAGUUGGUGGGGUAAAGGCCUACCAAGGCGACGAUCCGUAGCUGGUCUGAGAGGACGACCAGCCACACUGGGACUGAGACACGGCCCAGACUCCUACGGGAGGCAGCAGUGGGGAAUUUUGGACAAUGGGCGCAAGCCUGAUCCAGCAAUGCCGCGUGCGGGAAGAAGGCCUUCGGGUUGUAAACCGCUUUUGGCAGGAACGAAACGGUGUCCGCUAAUACCGGGCGCUAAUGACGGUACCUGCAGAAUAAGCACCGGCUAACUACGUG
rnacentral:rRNA from 1 species